UGGUGAAUGGCCUGAGAUCUGGCCUGGCUGGUGGGAGCGCAGAUGGCAGGCUGUCCGGCUGUCCAAGGUCUACGAUGUCCCCUGCAGGACUGGACCCCCUGUGGUCCUCAGAGACGCUGGAGCUGCCAUGCCAGCUGGACAGCUUUAGAGCCUGCAGAGCUGAGGAUGGAAGCCAGGGCCUUGCCCUUGCUAGACAAGAGCUUUAUCACUCUCACCAAGAAAGGCCAUGAAGGAGGAGGGUAGUCAUGGUGUGGAACGGAGAAUUGGAGGUGGAUGUGACCAAGGGUUAUCUCUAUGUUUAAGCCUUGGCUGUCCUGG